rnacentral:lncRNA from 1 species
GCUUUUUGUGAUAUCACCAUGUUGGUUAGCUUGCAAGCUCUGAAGUCUCUUCGUGUUAUGUGGGUCUUUCCUGACUUGGUCUUUCCAUACCGCUUUCUUGGUCCGGUGUCCCCAAAAUGUUUCCGACUUCUUUUCUCAAGGUUGCAUCAACUUCCGGGGUGCCUUAUCAGAUUUAGUUUGAGGGGUGUCAUUCAUCCACUACCAUUGAUCCCGGAUUCGUCCAACCAUUUCUCAUCACUCUGUCCACACAAGUAAACCACAAAAAAAAAAUAAUAAUAAUACGACGACAACAAAAACAAAAGCUCAAGAACAAAACAAAUUGAAAGUGAAUUAAAC